UAACACGUAAAGAACCUGCCUCAUAGACGGGGACAACUAUUGGAAACGAUAGCUAAUACCGGAUAACAACAUAAAUCGCAUGAUAUAUGUUUAAAAGUUGGUUUCGGCUAACACUAUGAGAUGGCUUUGCGGUGCAUUAGCUAGUUGGUGGGGUAAAGGCCUACCAAGGCGACGAUGCAUAGCCGACCUGAGAGGGUGAUCGGCCACACUGGGACUGAGACACGGCCCAG
rnacentral:rRNA from 1 species